rnacentral:tRNA from 1 species
CCGGCGGUGGCGGAGCGGUCAAUCGCAUCAGACUGUAAAUCUGACGGGCUUGUCCCUGCGUAGGUUCGAAUCCUACCCGCCGGA